UGGGGGAUAUUGCACAAUGGGCGCAAGCCUGAUGCAGCGACGCCGCGUGAGGGAUGAAGGCCUUCGGGUUGUAAACCUUUUUCGCUCAUGGUCAAGCCGCAGCUUUGGGUUGUGGUGAGGGUAGUGGGUAAAGAAGCGCCGGCUAACUACGUGCCAGCAGCCGCGGUAAUACGUAGGGCGCGAGCGUUGUCCGGAAUUAUUGGGCGUAAAGGGCUUGUAGGCGGUUGGCCGCGUCUGCCGUGAAAUCCUCUGGCUUAACUGGGGGCGUGCGGUGGGUACGGGUUGACUUGAGUGCGGUAGGGGAGACUGGAAUUCCUGGUGUAGCGGUGGAAUGCGCAGAUAUCAGGAGGAACACCGGUGGCGAAGGCGGGUCUCUGGGCCGUUACUGACGCUGAGGAGCGAAAGCGUGGGGAGCGAACAGG
rnacentral:rRNA from 1 species